UGGGAUCAUUGCCUCCGUCCCAUAGGCCAGGUUGAAAGGAGAUUCUCCGGUCGGGGCCCGAGGUGUUGUUCGGUAUGCCCAUAGGAUCGAGUGCAACUCUUCGACCCAGAGGCCUCUGGCUUCAUUCAGUCGAGUCUUCAACCCAUGCAGAAUGGUCCGGUUGGUUACUUCGACUUUUCCGUUGGAUUGUGGAUGGCCGAUC
rnacentral:lncRNA from 1 species